AUUGAACGCUGGCGGCAGGCCUAACACAUGCAAGUCGAACGAGCGGCGGACGGGUGAGUAAUGUCUGGGAAACUGCCCGAUGGAGGGGUAAAACUACGGGAAACGGUAGAAAAAAGCGCAUACGACCGGAUGUGCCCUGUUGGGAUUAGCUAGUUGGUGGGGUAACGUCUCACCUAGGCGACGAUCCAUAGCUGGUCUGAGAGGAUGACCGGCCAACCGGGAACUGAGACACGGUCCAGACUCCUACGGGAGGCAGCAGUGGGGAAUAUUGCACAAUGGGCGAAAGCCUGAUGCAGCCAUGCCGCGUGUAUGAAGAAGGCCUGCGGGUUGUAAAGUACUUUCAGCGGGGAGGCGUUACUCGCAGAAGAAGCACCGGCUAACUCCGUGCCAGCAGCCGCGGUAAUUC
rnacentral:rRNA from 1 species